AGUUUACAAUUCAACGUGUACAUCAAAUAUCCAAUUCAUUACAUAUGAGUUCCCAUUACAAUAUGAUUCAUUACCAAAAUACAUGCUAAAAUUCCAAGGCCUCAUUCAAGAUAUCGAAUUUCCUUUUGAAAAAAAUAAAAAUCCUACUGUACUAGAGAUUUACGUGACUAUAUGUUUCGAUGAGGACACAACAUUUAGUUCUCCCAACACAUAA